rnacentral:lncRNA from 1 species
AACUACGGAGGCGAGCUUGACUAGUUGGAGCCUGGCUAUUUUGUGGAGCAUUUGGUUCCAUCAAAAUGUCUUUCUCUGGCGGAACCAGUAUACUACUGCUUUUAGUAUUUUGGUGUUUGUUGAUUCAGUUUUGCAGAAUUGGCAGCAUUCAAGGAGUAAUUUUUUAUUCUGUGCAGGUUUCUACUAAGUUGUCUCCGACUUGGUUGAAGCCACCUUCAAGUUUUCUUAAGUGCAAUUGGAGGAAAAUAAGGCUACUUGUUUUGUGGAUGUGAUGAAGGAUUUGAAUGGUUUGGUGUUUAAGUGCUUCAUUGGUUUUGUUAAUUCGUUGAUAGAUCCUUGCAUAGUUGAAGCAUUUGCAAUUGGGAGGCUCUUUCUUGGUUGUGGAGUCAGAUUCCUUUGUUACUAUUUCUUCUUUGACUUGCCCAAGAUUAGAUGUUCCUGAUUUCUGUUUGGUGAUUCAAGAUUGUUUGCAUUUUCAGCAUUUGUCUUUUCUUUGGAAUCUUCAAGGAGCUAAGAAGGCAGCUCAUUCAUCAGCACCGGUGAAUUUAUUGUCUGCUAACCACAAUGAGUGGGAGAAUCCUCUUACUAAUCUUGUUUCUAUUUUUCAUUCGAUAUUAUUUAUGACUUCUAUUGUGAAUAGAGAGAGACAUUAGGGCCGGGUGAAUGGGAAAAACCUAUUUCACUUCAGUUUAAUUUGUCCACUUUUUGGAGAGUUCAUGUACCAA